GGCUUAGAGUUUGAUCAUGGCUCAGGAUGAACGCUGGCGGCGUGCCUAACACAUGCAAGUCGAGCGAAGCGAUUUCGAGGAAGUUUUCGGAUGGAAUUGAGAUUGACUGAGCGGCGGACGGGUGGGUAACGCGUGGGCAACCUGCCUCAUACAGGGGGAUAACAGUUAGAAAUGACUGCUAAUACCGCAUAAGCGCACAGUUUCGCAUGAAACAGUGUGAAAAACUCCGGUGGUAUGAGAUGGACCCGCGUCUGAUUAGCUAGUUGGUGGGGUAAAGGCCUACCAAGGCGACGAUCAGUAGCCGACCUGAGAGGGUGACCGGCCACAUUGGGACUGAGACACGGCCCAAACUCCUACGGGAGGCAGCAGUGGGGAAUAUUGCACAAUGGGGGAAACCCUGAUGCAGCGACGCCGCGUGAGUGAAGAAGUAUUUCGGUAUGUAAACUUCUAUCAGCAGGGAAGAAAGUGACGGUACCUGACUAAGAAGCCCCGGCUAACUACGUGCCAGCAGCCGCGGUAAUACGUAGGGGGCAAGCGUUAUCCGGAUUUACUGGGUGUAAAGGGAGCGUAGACGGAAUGGCAAGUCUGAUGUGAAAGGCGGGGGCUCAACCCCUGGACUGCAUUGGAAACUGCCAGUCUUGAGUACCGGAGGGGUAAGCG
rnacentral:rRNA from 1 species